CCCCUAGAUGUUCUGGGCCGCACGCGCGCUACACUGAAUGGAUCAACGUGUUUUCCCUUCCCGAGAGGGACGGGUAACCCGCUGAACCCCAUUCGUGGUAGGGAUCGGAGCUUGCAAUUGUUCUCCGUGAACCAGGAAUUCCCAGUAAGCGCAAGUCAUAAGCUUGCGUUGAUUACGUCCCUGCCCUUUGUACACACCGCCCGUCGCUACUACCGAUUGAAUGUUUUAGUGAGGCCUCGGGACUGGCGCCUCAGAGCUGGCAACAGCACCGGGGCGCCGGGAACUUGAACAAACUUGAGCAUUUAGAGGAAGUAAAANUCGUANCA
rnacentral:rRNA from 1 species